AGGGGAAGGAGGAGGAGGAGAAGGAGGAGGGGGAGGAGGGGGUAGGGGAAGGGGGAGGAUUUUAACAGUCACUUGGAGGAGGGAGGGAUGAAUCAGAAGAGGCUUGAGGGGGUUCCAGGUGCUGGCACUACUCUACUAAAUGGUCCUGAGUGUGAUUUACAUUUCACAAUGAGAAGGCCUUUAAUAACACAUAUCAUAUAAGAUUCAGUAAGAGUCCAUAAUCAACUUAUCAUCUUAAUCAUCUGAAUUAGCAAUUAAUUUUCAACUUUAAUCAUUCCAACAAGCCUCUUGAAAUGCAAAUUUUAAUUAAAUUUGUCAGGCAAUAAUUACUUUAAAAAACUAUUAAUACUCUAAAACUUAGUUUACUAAAGCAUACGAGCUGGUAAAACAUCCAAUCCAGGUAAAAGUGUUUUCUACUCGAAUCAGAUGAACUGAGUUCAAACCCCAGAGCCCGUAGAUGAAAAUAGAGAACAGACACCUGACAAUUGUCCUCUGGCCUCCACACAUACAUGGCAGCACAUUGGCACAUGUGCACCAACAUGCAUGAUGUGAACAUGUAUAAUAAUGCCCAAAAUUUAUCAUCAUACAGGUAACUUAUUUUAUUUUAUGUGACAUUCUAAGCAGGACACAGAAACUUCACAAUUUGUUCAACCUUUUUAAAAGCCAUAUUAUGUACGUAUACCUAAUGGCAAUUAUAGACACUAGUAUUUCUUUGCUAUAAGAGAGAAGAAAUGAAAGAAACCGAGUUUCUUUGUGUUUUGAAACAACGUCUUGCUAUGUUUCAGGCUAGACUGGAACUCACCAUGCAGCCAAGGCUGGUAUCAAACUCAAAAUCCUCCUGCCUCAGUCUCCUGAGUUCUAGGGUUACAAGUACAUACCACACACCCAGAUUUAGUUUUGCUUACCUAUUUAAGCAGAGAAAAAUGCUCUGUGAUGUGGUCUAGUAUUGUUUUAAUUAAACUUAUAUAUUGAUGACUCAGAUUUCUCUUUAGAAAAUGCUAGUUUGAAUAAUAUAAAGUGUUCCCACAAAGGGCUCAUUUAUUAGCAAGCUAAGUACCCAGUUAAUGGCACUACUUUUGGAGGUUCUGAAAACUUUGGAAGACAGAGCCUAACUUGAAGAAGCAGGUCACUGGGGCGUGUCCCUGAAAACAUCUUUGCACUGAGCUCCUUUCGGCUGUGCUCUCUGUUUCCUGUCUGCAGUCAUGAAACGAGCUGCUCCAACAGACUGAAUGGUAUUUUGAAUAAACAGCACGUUAUGGGAUGCAUAGUUUGCAUGUACACAUAUAUACCUGUGAGCAUGGCAAGCCCUUUACAGACAGAAUCAUCUCCUCAGCCCCAAGCUGUUCUUGUUAAGGUUUAUUUUAUUUUAAUUGUAUCUGUAUGAGUGUUAGCCUGCACACAUGUGUGUGUAGUAGGAAGGCUGGAAGUGGGCAUCAGAUCCCUCUGAAACUUGACUUACAAACAGUUGUGAGCCACCAUGUGGGUGCUGGAAAUGGACUCUGGGUCUUUUAUAAAACAGCAGGUACUCCUGCUGCUGACCCAGCCACCCAACACAGCUAUGGUUUGCUUUCAAUAUUUCACUGACAAUCAGAACAGAUACUGAAAAUGCUUUCCUGACUUCAUUUAACAAAAGCCUUUCUCAAAGGCCAAGCUCUUUAGGUCAGAGUUGUCCAAUUCAUUCGUCUCUGGCCAAACUGACCAUUCAAAAAGUACCAGUGCAUUCAGCCAUGGUUCUUCCUACAAGAAUGCCAGACAGCAGAUAGAUCUGCCAUUUUAAGAUUAGUAUAGAGUAAUUUUAAAGCUUCUUUUACCUGAACUGAGAUAGAAAAGUUAAAGGUAAGCAGAGAAUCUUCUUAUACCAGAACAGUCACUCAAAGAGUAAAGAAAAAAUAAGUAUUUUUCCUGAUGACACAGACAACUUUAAAAGACAAUUUCUACCUUAUCACAAACACACAUAUGGUGUGGCUCAGAAUACAUAUGACUAAGAUAAAACUUUAAGGCAUAUUGGAAUAUGUCUAUAAUUCCAGAAUAGGAAGAUGGAAAGAAUAUUACAAUCCAAGCUAGUCUGAUGACCAUCACAACAACAGCAACCAACAAAGAAGCAAAGGACAAAGGCUCUCCUCUGCAUCGUCCACCCGGCCGUGACUACUGUGGCUGUGGUGGGACUGCUCACAGACAGUACUUUUGGUCACAUCAUCUCAAGUGUAGAAGCACAGACACGUAUAGGUGCAAAGGUAUAGAAGUGCAGAAGUUUGGAAAUACAGAAGUGAGCAAGUGUAGAUGUGUGCAAGUGUACAAGCACAGACUUUGAGCAGUGGAAGUGUAGGAGUGCUGCACUAAUACCACUUCAUAAACUGGCUACUGGCGUGUGACCAAAGGAACAUGUACAUCGAAUACACUUAAAGUUCUUCUAGCAAUCUGAUGUUAGCGUGACAAAUUUAUGGUUUGGUUUGGUUUUGCUAAUACUUUUCGAAUUUCACUUUUUCUGAUCUUUUCUUUAGCAUGUAUUUUACAAAUGUAUUGGUCCAUACAGACAUUAAAAAAGCAAAAACAGGCCUUUCAGCACAGAUAAUUUAAGGAGUAUACAGUAUAUUACAAUGUCCUUUCUCUUUGACACAAAUAUUGUCUGCAGCCAAGUCUACCCACGAGGUCUGUUUCUUCCUUGAAUUCAUUGCUACUUAAAAUCCUCUCUACUGAGCCUAUGUUUUCUCCCUUGACAUAUAAAAUGUGAAGAUUACUGUCCGUGAAGAUUAGGCUGAAGGAGCCCAUGCAUUCAGUUGGUGACGAUGGUAAACAAUGAGGGAAAGGUUGGCUACUGUGGCUGACAGCAAGCACACUCUAAAUUUUUACUCAGAAAAAAAAAAAAAUGCAUGGGACAGAAACAAGGACCAGCCCAAGUUUUCUAAAUUCAUGAUGAUCAAAGGCGUGUGCACAAGCGGACAGUUACAGGCCCAACAAACCAUCGCUUCCUUGUAACUUAUAAAAAACACUGUCUUCUGUGUAGUCUUCAUACAGUCUAAAGUACUAGUCUACUUUGUACGUGUGUUUGGGGGCUGUACCACAGGAAGGAAGCCCUGAUUUAUGACUCUUUCCUAAAGUCUGCUCUGCUGUGCCAAGGUUUCCUUCCACAGCAAUAAAAGCUAUUUUGGAAAUUUUAAAUCAAUCUCAAAGUUGGCAGUGUAAUUAUAACUUCCAUUUUUGCAGGACACAGAGGGAAAACAGUGGUUUGGAUGGAGAGCCACGAGAACUCUGGGCGCUGAAGUGGUCUCCAGAUCAUGUUCAUCUGUUAGACCAUCAAGGUCUGCUUUCACAGUCUUUUGCCAAUCUCGCUAAUACGUUCCAACCAGGCUUUGAGUAAAAUGAACUAUAAUUCAUUUGAUAUGGAGUUUAUUAAAAAGAUACUUUAAAAAACAUUCUAUAGGUCAUUCAUAUGCCUAAAAGAUUAGAAUUUUUAUUUAUAUAGAUUUAUGAUGUUGGGAAUUGGUUCUAAUGCUUUGUUUUAUUUUGGCUCCCAAAAAGCCUCAAUUCCAGACCUCAGGGUCCCUGCCACCAACUGGCUUUGAUUGAUAAAAAGAAUUGCCAUACAGCCAAUGUCUGGGCAGAAAGACAAAGGACCAGAGAGAGGAGACAGAGGCUCACCAUGACUCAGAGGGAGAAGGAUCGGAUGUAAGAGCUACAGGAAGAAAAGCAACUAACAGGAUAUGUGUGUAAUAUAUAUUACAUCCCAAGGCAAGAAAUGUUUUAAACAAACUAUUUCCAGAAAAGUAGAUGGAUCUGCUAUGACCCUGCACAGCUGCCUUCAGUGUGAAGACUGUGGUCUCUGAAGAGAUAACUAAGAACAUGAGUUACUGGUGGUAUCACAUGUACACACAUGUAAAAGAAAAGGCCUGGAGCUAUAACUAAGCCAGCCAUAUCUACCAUGCUGUCGUGUGGAACAGUCUGGAUCCAACUCUGGUAGCAUCAAACAAACAGCUAAGAAGCACAAGAAGACAACAGCUUAGUCAUAAGGAAAAUGCAAAUGAAGGCAAGAUAAAAGAUCACUCCUACCCAUUUGGACAUUCCAAAGAACAGAUAAGAGUAGCAAGGAUCAGGAAAAACUGGAAUCCUUUUAUGUUGCUGGUAGAAACAUUGUCAUAUACAGCCAAGUCACUUUAUCUCUAUAAACACAACCAAGAGUAGGGAAAAGGUGCCCUGUGAAAUCUAGUGCCAGGUACCCUGCUGCACUCACGGUGGCCACAGAAAUACCUCCUGUCAGUGAGCAGAUAAACAGAUGUGGCACAUGCAAACACAUGCUACACUACUCAGCCAUAAAGGACGAGCAGACAGUGUCCAGCCUCCAGCUGCAUCCUCACCCCAGGAAGGCAAUGAGGGCAGCCCAGCACCCAUGGUAAACUUACUUAGACAUUGUGAGAUACACUUUUGUGACUUGGUCCUGUAGUUCUCAAGCAUUACCUUUGUAGACAAUGAGGUAUUGCAAUAUCAAAUGGCUGGACACACCUGACAGAUGGACCCUGAAAACAUGGGAAGUGAAAGCAGCCAGAAGAGGCCACAUGUAUGAGUCAUUCAUGUGAAAUGUACACAGGAAGCAAAAUUGAACACAGACUUUUGUGUGCCCCAGGGCUGCUGACAAAGGGCUGUUAGCAGACAUUGGUUUCCUUUUAGAAGGGAGGGAAUGAUCUAUUAGUGGUAUGAGGUAUGUGGUUCAGGAAAAUACUAAAAUCACUGAACUGUGUUCUAAUUGGAUAGAUCUUACAUUAUGCAAACAUCUGAACUAAAACAAGCAAAACCCCUAGCAGCCCUUGCCUGGGCUUUGGAUUUUCCUGCACCUUCCUGUGGCCAUGCUUAGGACUGCUCAACUAUUCUGAUCUUACCUAUCAAGUUCUGUCCAGGACGUGAAACAGAGCACAUGCUCUUCCUUUCUUCUUUUCUAUAGCUUUUAUUAAAUGAAAAUAUAUAUUAUUUUUAUUAGGUGACAUAAAAAAAUUAAUUUUUCAAGUUUUAAAGGCUCCAAAUCUCAUCUCACAUUGGAAAAUGUUCACUUAAGUAUUAGAAAACUUACUGCAGCUCUUAUUUAACUCUUUCAUUAAAUAAUAAUGAAGAUUGAUUGAUUGAUUGAUUCUGGAGCUGGGGACUAAACCCAGGGCCUUGUGGUUGCUAGGCAAGCACUCUACCACUGAGCUAAAUCCCCAACCCCAAUAAUGAAGAUUUAUAACAAUUACCCUCACCUCAUCACCUCCCAGAGAUCAGGGCACAGGGGCCCGUGCCUGUGGUCUCAGUAUUCAGGAGACAGAAACAACAUGAUCACCUGAGCUCGGGCUUGUGACACCAACCUCAGCAGCACAGCAAGAGCUCAACUGUUUGUUGUUUGUGUGCAUGUGUGUGUGCACGUGUGUGUGUGCGUGUGUGUGUGCGCGCGUGUGUGUGCGUGUGUGUGUGCGUUUGUGUGUGUGCGUGUGCCUAACAGGGUACCUAACAGGGUGGGUAGCUCACUGGUUAAGACACCUAACCAGGGUAUCUAACAGUGUGGGUAGCUCACUGGUUAAGACACCUAAACAGGGUACCUAACAGGGUGAGUAGCUCACUGGUUAAGACACCUAAACAGGGUAUCUAACAGGGUGAGUAGCUCACUGGUUAAGACACCUAACCAGGGUACCUAACAGGGUGGGUAGCUCACUGGUUAAGACACCUAACCAGGGUACCUAACAGGGUGGGUAGCUCACUGGUUAAGACACCUAACCAGGGUACCUAACAGGGUGGGUAGCUCACUGCUCAUCUAAAAGACCCAAGUUUGGUUUCCAGCAGCCAUGCAGCCAUGUCAGGUGCCUCACCCUCACUUACAGCCCAGUUCCAGGGGGAUCUGAUGCCUGCACCGAGGGAGGCACCUGCACUCGAUAUAUUAGCAUACAUGGUUUGUACGUACCCUAUGUAGGAAGUGUGGUCCCAGUGCAGUGCUGAGCUAGUGGCCUAGAAAGGAAUAAUGACGGUCUCAAGGAGAUUAGUCCUAGAGAGGACUUUACAUUUUCUUUUCAUUAAUUUUCAAAAGAAACUGCCCCACUACCCCAUGGUCUGGCUUUCCUUCUCACCAUAUGACUCCUUCAUUACGUUCUCAUUGUAAUGUCACCCGCUAAGGUCAUGAAGCCAGGCCCUCGAUAACAGAUGGUACUGCCACUACUAGACCUCUAGGCCUGUGAGCUAAAUAAACUUCUUUCCCUCAUAUAUCACCACUGUCCAAUACUUCGUUCCCAUUACAGGAAACAUAGCAACACAGGGUCCUCUGAGCACGACAGCUGAGAAGCAAGCUAUUAUUCCAUUCCAAAAGAGACUUUAGUAGUACUGCCCUCAAGGUUGGUCCUGUAAUACCUAAAGGGACUCUUAUUAACUGAUUAAAUGAGAAAUAUAAAGCUCUAAAGACCUAAAGUUCACUCUAAUUUCUUAAGUUUUAAGACGUUGAGGCAUUUGGAUUCCAGGUUUCCAGGUUAGAAGGACUCGGGAUGUUUUAUUUAGCAUUGCUGUGUAAGGGGAAACCCUGAGGAAGGCAAGCCGUCACUGCCAGUAACUCAGGAAUCUCGCUUUCCGUUAUCACUGGCAUUUCACAGGUCUGCACUGCUUCGGAUUUCUCCGAGUACCUUCAUCUUUUACUCAGGAUAGCUCACAUUAUUAGAGCGAAUAAAGCUUUUGGAACCAAAGGAAUCAAAAUUCUGGUUUACUAAACUUUAUGAUUUGGGGUAAGUUGGUUACAUUUCAGAGUCCUUACCUUAAAAUAGGAAAUUGAAAACAUUUCUAGAAAAUCAAUGCUACCCAAAAUACAUUGUUUUGUCUCAAAUAUCAUUCUAAAUGCUUUCCCAACACUAAUUUAUCUCACAAAGCAAUGGUGUAGGACUACUGUUGUCCUACAGAGAGAGCGGUAACUGUUAUCCUACAGAGAGGUUAUGUGGCUCAAACUCAAGUGCUAUUUGCUGUUGCUGCCUGUAGGAGGGCAGGUUGUCCUAGUAUAGCCUUGGCUGGCCUGGAAAUCCCCUGUAGGAUAGGCUGGCCAUGGCCGCCUUCUGCCUCUUCAGUGCUGGGCUUACAGGUCUGCAGCACCACAGACUAGGCUUCUAAUUGCUACUCCACGCAGUCUCUUUGGUGAUGUAAAGUGGCUCUAAUUCUACAUUUUGUUUGCUUUUGUUUUGUUCUGUUUUGCUUUUUAAAGAAUGCUGACAUCCCUCCAGGGCUUCAACUGGAUUAUUCAUUGGGCUCUCAUCUUUUGUCAAAUGAUCCUAGGUGUGGAUUGUGCAUUUCUAAGAAACAAAUGUAUAGCCCGGUGGUGGUGGUGUGGUUGCAUCUGCCUUUACUAGUUCUACCACUCAGGAGACAGAAGGUGGAUCUCUGAGCUGGAGGCCAGCCUGGUCUACAGAGUGAGUUUCAGGACAGCCAGGGCUACACAGAGAAACCGUCUUGAAAAACAACAAAAUAGGAUGAAAAAAAGAAGUAAAUAUAUAGGUUUUCUGGCAUAGCAGAGAGCCCCUGAAUCCUGAUGCUGAGACUGAUGAGGCUGGCAGCUUCCAGGACUGUGCUGUCCCCAUCUGUGACUGCUAUUCUGUAAUCUUCCUUUUGAGCCUCCCUGGUUGUCACUUACAGACUUAGGCUGUAGCCACUACAUCUGUCACUCCCAACACAUCUUAACUGCUACUCCUAUACAUUUGCAACACACAUGCAGCUUAUAUAUAUAUGUGUGUGUAUGUGUAUACAUGUGUAUGUGUAUAUAUAUAUGUGUGUGUGUGUAUAUAUAUAUAGCUUCAACUAUUUCAUAUAUUCAUUCCUGCUUUAUGUUAAUUUAAAAAGAACUAUUUCUCCUUCAGUAAAAUAAAUAAAAGGCUCGGCACGGUGGUGUGCUCAGGAGACAGUAGGCGGAUCUCCUGAGUUUGACGCCAGCCUGGUUUACAUAGGGAGACCCGGUCUCCAAGAAUAAAGCUAAGGGCCAGGGAGAAGGCUCAGCUGUUUAGGGGAAUCUGCAGCUGCCAAGUCUUUAGGCCUGAGCAUGGCUCACAAUGAAAGAAAGGAAUCAGCUCCUGUUCUGUGCAGUACUCACUGUGCGCACAGUGACACACACGCAUGCCCAUUCACUCACACGCGCACACAGAUAAACCACUAGUUAAUCCCAGUGCUAGGAGGUAGAGUGGUGAGGGGUGUAGACUGAGACAGGAAGACUGCUGUGAGUUCAAGGCCAGCCUGGGCUACAUGUAUUCCAGGAGAGUGAGAUCUGGUCUCAAAGUAAAAUCAUCUUACAUCUAGUGUUUGUCUUUCUUUAGAUCCUUUAUGAAGGAAGGAACCUUCCUCUCCUAUCUUUCUUAAAGCAGUGAUCCUUAAUCUGGACACAGAAUGUAACAAAGAAUCCAUGGAUUAGUUCAAACAGUCUAACUAUAAACAGAACUUUGUCUUAUUUUCCAAGAAAGUUCAAACUGUUGAUUUUUUUUGAAGCAAAAAACAAAACAAAACAAAAAAACAACCUAAGAACUACUUCGUAAAGAAAACUGCUGUGGGAAAUAAAAUUUAAUAUGUAACCUUUAAUGACUUAUUUUUCAUCACCUCAACUUUGUCGAGAUAUUCCGCUUAUUAAGAAAAGGAAAAUACUCAUGAAAAAGCAAUGUUCCAAAUGAUGAGAUUUUAAAAACGAAUCAAUGGAGCUAGAGAGAUGGCUCAUUGGGUAAGAACACUCUGGUUCCAGAGGACCCAGGCUCAGCGGCAGCUCUCAGCCAUCUGCCGGCCCAGUUCAGAGGCCCUGAUGCCCUCUUCUGACCUCUAGGCAGGAGAGUGGAGCUGGGACACACAGGCAAGCAGAACAUCCACACAUAAAUAAAUCUUUUUUAAAAAUGUGACCAAAUAUAACAGCUUCUGCUUUCCAAUUUUUAUUUUGCCACACAUGUAAUUUUAGUUUAUUAUUAAAUUACUAGUAUAAAAGAUGGUCUUCAGGGGCUGGAGAGAUGGCUCAGCUAUUAGGAGCACUUGCUGCUCUUCCUGAGGAUGUGAGUUCAGUUCCCAGCACCUACGGGACCAGAAGGACUGCAGAUCGAGUAGAUCUAACCCCCUUUUCCAGACUCCACAAGCACAAGAUACAAAUGCUCUCUACAUACAGACAUGAAGGCAAAACAUUCACACACACAUUAUAUAAACAAAUCUUUAAAAAUAAAUGUCUUCAGUCCUUGGAGAUUGUUAUCCCUGUCUCAAAUAAAAUACAGAAUUGCUCUAUGUACUAACUCUAACAACAAAUGUUUAUUGAAUACUAUGUCAGGCAAUAAAUUUGAUCCUAUUGACUGUGUAGAUUAAUUCUUAGGUCUCCACCUUAUUGUCUCAAUCCAUAAAUACAGGUUAGACCAUACUUUAUGUGCAUGUUCACCGGACUCGCAUAGUGCCUGGAUCUUAAUGAAAGCUUCAGUAUUUAAAUGAAUACUGACCCAAAAGACAAGAGAGGGUGGGAUACACAAGCAGCAGUUUCUCGUUUGAAACAACCAGACCACCAAAGUUAGAAUAAGAUUAGAAUCUUUCAUGGAUGCCAAAAGAACAAUAACAAAAUACUAAAAACUUCAGAACAUAUGCCUUUCUAUUAACUUUUUCCUUGGAUAAAUUAAGACAAACCUUUUAUGCUAGCAAAAAAGAGGGGGGGCGACUAAAUGAUGGCAAAAAUGAGUGAGAUUCGAAGGCCUUUUAGGUAAGGAUGUUACGAUAUCUGAGAUUUUUACAAGUCUAAGAUUUUCCCACUGACAUUAGGUUUCUGGGAGCUGUUACAGAAUCUGUAUUAAGAAACAGCAGGGGACGGGGGAGGUGGUGUGGGAACAGCUCUUGAGAGCUUGCCUAGUUUUCAGAAGGCCCUGAAUUCUAUUUGUAAUGCUAGGGAGAGACUUGGAGGGAAUGGGGGCCCAACAACACUCCACCCAGAAAAGGGAAGCAGAGAGAAAAAGGGAGAAAAUGCAUGCUAAGCAUUUUGACUCGGACUUAGUGGGCCGAUCUAUGAGUUAACUCAAUUGGCAAUACAGUCAGCCCACAGGAUUGGACGUGCACGUUUGGCUACUAUAAUUCACAUAUGCUGGGGGGGUAUUGUUCCUUUCUUGAAAGUUCCAAGCAAACAUCCUGUCUGCUGCAGCCUUUUGUGGGUGCCGCUACCCUUCAGUUAUCGCUGUGUUUUGUUUUGUUUUUUUAAAGAGGAACAUCAACAAGUAUUUAGGAGGGGCCUACAAAGAACUUUUCACCCUUAGCCGCAGCCCACGAUCCUCCCACCGAAAGGCCGGAGAAGCGCCGCCCAGCUGAGCCGCGCAGGGGCUACGAGCCACGCCCGGAUGCGCCGCGGCCAGGUCCCGGCCGCCCAAGGGUGGAGACAGGGUGCGGCUCCGCCUCACCUCCACCGCCUGGCCCAGCUCCAGGUCGAAGCCCACCACACACACGCAGUGUAGCCAGGCUGAGAAGCCGUCCCAGCGCAGCAGGCCCCGGCGGCCAUCGUCCUCCUCAUCGUCCUCCAGCGCGACUCCCGCCGCCGCAAGGGCCGCCGCCUCGCGCCCCUCGGCCCCAGCCUCGUCCAACGACCCGCGGGAACCGGGUCCGAAGACCGCCUGGUCCCGCAGAGCCAUCCGCCACCCCCUGUCCGCUCGAGCCGCCUCCGCCGCGGACCGCGCCGCAGAGCGCGCAGGCCUCCGCGCACGCGCACCGAGUGCUGCCGCAGCAGCUCCGGACUCCCUGGAUAGGGGCGCGGCCACGAGCCACGUGACCCUGGGAGCGGGGGUUCAGUGUGUUUCCCUGCACGCCGCCACCCCUGCUGCUGGCGCCGACUGGCCUACUGGUCUUAGAAUCCUCAUCUCGUCCCGACGACAGUACAGCAACGAAUUAUUCUCGGAAUGACACAGUUCAUUAUUAAAGUAUCACUAAAACAGUGGUGUUUAAUGAAACUUUUACUCUGUGCCAGUUGAUAUGCUAAGUUCAAAUAAAGUAUUAACUAUUAAACAAAUCAA